CAACCAAAACUGCCUUUGAGUUCAGUUUGAGGAAGACGAAAAACGAGCGAAGAAAGAAUCUAAAAGAUGUUUAAGAUCGGCUUGUUAUCUAUACUUACAAUGGCAAGCUUCAUUUUUACACAUGCGGGAAAACUCGAUGAACAUUUUUGGGACGAUCACAGCAAAAGUUAUGUCCCAAAGAGACGCUCAAAGACUUUAAAUACGGUUUGUUUAAAAGAUUUGUCAGAAUGUAAGGUGAGACCACAGAAGGAAGAUUACUGCAAGGGCCGCACAAAUGUGCACUGCGAAGAAAUAGACGAAAAAUGCACGGCUUUUUAUUCUUUGUAACGCAUAAUUAUGAACAGAACUAAGUUCUCUUUGUAGAUUUUAGAAAUUGGCGUGCGUUGUUACGGUGAGAAAAUGCACGUUAUUGUAACAGAUAUUAGCUAAAUAAA